rnacentral:sRNA from 1 species
UAUUCUGCCCUACAGGGAAGGAUGAGAAGCUUCGACCAAGGUUCGACUCGAGCGUAGCGAGAGAACGUUGCCGCAGGCAACGGCCCGAAGGGCGAGGAGCAAUAGCGACGAGUUAUCCUUCCCCCUCUAUUC